GAAUUAGCUCAGUUGGUUAGAGCGCCAGGUUGUGGCCCUGGAGGCCGUGGGUUCGAGUCCCAUAUU
rnacentral:tRNA from 2 species